rnacentral:rRNA from 1 species
GUGCCAGCCGCCGCGGUAAUACGAAGGGGGCUAGCGUUGUUCGGAAUUACUGGGCGUAAAGGGUGCGCAGGCGGGGCAGCAAGUCGGAGGUGAAAGCCCGUGGCUCAACCACGGAAGUGCCUUCGAAACUGUUGCUCUUGAGUCCCGGAGAGGUUGCCGGAAUUCGUGGUGUAGCGGUGAAAUGCGUAGAUAUCACGAGGAACACCAGAGGCGAAAGCGGGCAACUGGACGGGUACUGACGCUCAGGCACGAAAGCGCGGGGAGCAAACAGGAUUAGAAACCCGAGUAGUCC